rnacentral:rRNA from 1 species
CCUACGGGUGGCAGCAGUGAGGAAUAUUGGUCAAUGGGCGCGAGCCUGAACCAGCCAAGUAGCGUGAAGGAUGACGGCCCUACGGGUUGUAAACUUCUUUUAUAAGGGAAUAAAGUGACGUACGUGUAGGUUUUUGCAUGUACCUUAUGAAUAAGGACCGGCUAAUUCCGUGCCAGCAGCCGCGGUAAUACGGAGGAUCCGAGCGUUAUCCGGAUUUAUUGGGUUUAAAGGGAGCGUAGGCGGAUUUUUAAGGCAGCGGUAAAAUGUCCGGGCUCAACCCGGGCCGGCCGUGGAAACUGGGGUGCUUGAGUGCGCGAGAAGCAUGCGGAAUGCGUGGUGUAGCGGUGAAAUGCUUAGAUAUGACGAAGAACCCCGAUUGCGAAGGCAGCAUGCCGGAGCGGAACUGACGCUGAGGCUCGAAAGCGUGGGGAUCGAACAGGAUUAGAUACCCCGGUAGUC